AUGUCCUCUAGGUCUGGUGGACGUGUUCUCGUGUCAAAACUCAUCCAAUCCUUUGAGGUAAAAGGAAACCAGGAAGAAACUGGAAUGUCUGAAGGGGAACAUGAUGAAUUAAAAAAGUUAACUCAGGGGAUGUUAUGCUGCCUCGUUGAAAAAUUCAAGUCGAUGACUUCAGAUCUUGCAAAGGCUGAAAAGUAUGUUGUCGGACUGUGUGACAGAAUAGAGCUUUCAAGUAAGUCUGAAGUGCAGCAUGAAGCAGAAAGACAGCGCACAGCAGUUUUUGAGGCCAGAAUGGAUGAGCUCUCUGAGAAGCUAAGCAACUACAAGAACACAAUUGAUCAACUGCACAUUCAGCUUGCUAACGUACAACAAGAUGCAGAUGAUCAUGCUGGGAAGCUCACUAAUCAGGCAGAACUUUUGCAUAAUGAUAUAACAGAAAGGAUUUCAAUUCUUGAGAAGGAAAGGGCAUCUCUAUCAGGUUUGCUCAGUGAAGUUACCAACAAGCUCAGCUUUUUGGUUGGUACUAUGUACCCUAAUGAUUUGGGUGCAAGCAAAGGUCUCAGCUUUAGUAUUUUGGACUCUGUGGAUCUCUCUGCUAAAUCAAUCCAAAGUCUUCAGGACAAAUUAGAGUCUGCUCAAAGCGAUAAUGCUAAGCUCAGUACUUCUCUUUCGGAGAUCAAGAAAGCACAUUCUGAUGUUCAAGAUAGGAAUGAACAUGCAUCUAGAAUGGUUAAGAACAUGUAUGAUUCCUUGCAGGAGUUUCUACUCAACUCGCUUGGAAAUUCAGAUGAAGCAAGUGCAGGAGAUAGUGCUGAGGAGCCAAUUGAAGCUCUGUUUAGUCAUCUUGGAGGAGCCAUCGAGCAGUUGAAGAAUCUAUUGCAUGACCGUCAUUCUUUGCAAUCAAACAAUGCUAACCUGGAGUCAAGAUUGUUGAGCAAAUGUGAAGAAGUUGAAGAGAUCAGCUUGAGAUGCAGUUCUUUAAUGAAGAAUAUGGAUGACAUGUGCUUGCUGAACGAGGAGCUUAAAUUAGUUUCUAAAAGUAAAAGUGAAGCGUUGGAUGAACUGCAUGGUAGAUGCCUCUCUAUAGCAGAAAAAAUGGUUCACCACUCUGCAGAUCUUACCUCAAUGGUUCUUCCUUUGAUGUCUAAUAGUGGUGAAGCUGAAACGUUCAGCAAGGAGCACCAUAUUUCUACCACAUUACUGCCAUGUAUUGAGGAGGGUGUAGCUUCAUGCAAUGAGAAAGUUGAAAAUGCAGUUGAAGAAAUCCACUUAGCAAAGAUAUGCUUGCAAAAUGCCCAUAUUUUUGACCAAAUUUCAUUUGACAAGUGGUCCUUGCCCUUGCCUGCGUUGAUCAAAGAAGAAAUUGUACCCCAGGUUUGUGACUUGCAGAGCAAAAUGGACCAGCUCAGUGAAUUGAACAUUCAGUUAGAGACUGAAAUUCCAGUUCUCAGGGAUGGCUUGAAAAAGCUUGAUGAAGCUCUUGAAACUUCACGUACUGAGCUUCAGGAAAGGUCUUCUGAACUUGAACAGUCAGAACAGAAACUUUCUUCUUUUAAGGAAAAACUCGGUAUUGCUGUUGCCAAAGGCAAAGCCUUGAUAGUGCAACGUGAUGGCCUUAAGCAGUCUCUUGCAGAGAAGUCUGGUGAGCUUGAGAAGCUCUCACAGGAACUGGAAUCAAAGGAUGCAUUAGUGAAAGAGUUGGAAGACAAGCUCAAAUCCUAUACAGAGGCAGAUCGAAUUGAAGCUUUGGAGUCAGAACUCUCAUACAUACGGAAUUCAGCUACUGCUUUAAGGGAUUCAUUUAUUCUGAAAGACUCUGUUCUUCAGAGAAUUGAAGAAGUCUUAGAAGAUCUAGAUAUGCCUGAGCGUUUUCAUUCUAGAGACAUUGUUGAGAAAAUAGAACUGUUGUCGAAGAUGGCUGUUGGUGCUUCUUUUACCUUGCCUGAUGGUGAUAAGAGAUCAUCUAUGGAUGGGCACUCUGAGUCUGGUGUGGCCAUGGAUAGCAUAAGUGAUGAACAAAUCUCAAUAUCAAAUCCAGGGUCAGAUGAAAUAAAGAACAAAUAUGACGAGUUGCAUAGGAGAUUCUAUGAACUGGCUGAGCAGAACAACAUGUUGGAACAGUCUCUAGUGGAGAGGAACAGUAUUGUACAGAAAUGGGAAGAGGUCCUUGGUCAGGUUAGCAUUCCCCUGCAGUUCAGAAUGUUAGAACCAGAAGAUAGGAUAACUUGGCUGGGAAACAGAUUAUUGGAGGUCGAGCAUGAAAGAGACACGUUACAUUCGAAGAUUGAGCACCUUGAGGAUUCCUCUGAGAUGCUAAUUACUGAUCUAGAAGAAUCACACAAAAGGAUUUCUGAGCUCAGUGCAGAGGUCGUUGCUAUAAAGGCCGAAAAGGACUUCUUCUCAGAGAGCCUGGAUAAACUGAGAUUUGAGUUCCUUGGACUCUCUGAGAAAGCAGUUCAAGAUGAGUUUGUCAGAGAUAACUUGCGAAAAGAUCUAGCUGAACUACAGGAGAAGUUAGCUGAAAAGGCAAAGGAGAGCAAGCACUAUCAUGAUAUGGAAAUAGAGGUACACAAACUACUCGAUUUGGUGCGAAAUGUGCUGCAGGAUGGUAGUAAUGCUGAAAUUCCAUCUGGUGGUGGUGCUGUACUGUGCUUGGGUGAACUGUUGAGGAAAGUUUUAGACCAUUAUGAAACUCUUUUGUCAGAGUCGACUCUAAGCAAUGCUGCCGAGAAGGAAAUUCAUUUAGAUGAAACCAAGCUGUCUAACGACGCUUCUACAUCAGAGACUGGUAGAGAUGACAAAGCGAGUGUACUGAAUACUUUGAGUAAUGAGUUGGAGCAUGCUCGCAAGAGUCUGGCCUUAGUUGAGCAGCAGCGUGAUGAAGCAGCUGAGAAGACACAAUCACUAUUACUGGAAGUGGAGAUGGCACAUGCUCAAAUAAACCGGCUGCAAGAAGGUGGUGCUGAGCAGACUCAAAAGUAUCAGUCGCUUGUGCUUGAACUAGAAUUAGCGGGUAAGCAGCGGGAUGAUCUGCAAGAGAAGCUAAAUCAGGAGGAGCAAAAGUGCACUUCACUGAGAGAGAAACUGAACAUCGCUGUCAGAAAAGGGAAAGGCCUGGUGCAACAAAAAGAUAGUUUGAAGCAAACUAUAGAAGAGAUGAAUGCUGUGAUAGAAAAACUUAAAAAUGAAAGGGAACAACACAUAGAAUCACUUGAAUCUGAGAAAACACUAUUGAUGGGCCGAUUAACUGAGAAUGAGAAGAACUUGCAUGAUACAACGGAAUACUUGAGUAGAUUGUUAAAUGCUUUGAAUACAGUGGACAUCGCUCGAGAAUUUGAUACAGAUCCAAUCACCAAGGUUGGAAAAAUUGCACAGGUUUACCUUGACCAACAGGCAACAGUGGCUUCAUCACAAAAUGAAGUGAAGAAAUUGAAACGAGCAACAGAGCUGCUUCUAACUGAGUUAAAUGAAGCUCAGGAGAGGGCCGAUAACCUGCAGGAGGAAUUAGUCAAGGAAGAAGCCGCACUUUCUGAAUCCUCUGAACAGAAGAAUGUUAUAGAGUCUGCAAGAGCGGAUGCUGUUCGCCACCUUGAACAUAUUACCUAUAUGCAGGCACAGGCAGCAAGGAAGCAAAUAGAUCAUUUGAAGGAGUUGAACUCUACCAGUGGUCAACUAAGAGAGGUCUGCUUUAACCUUUCACAUCGCCUUGCCAGCGCAUUCAGCAAAGAUGUGGACCUUAUCAGCUAUAUGGAGAGCUUCAUGAAAUCUUCUGGUAAAUGGAUGGAUGGCACAAAUAUGGUGGACAUACCUAUGACUUCUAAUGGGAUGUUGACCAGUAGCAUAAGCAGCAAAGAAUACUCAUAUUCCAAAUGCUCCGCUGGAAUUCACAGUGAAUGA
rnacentral:rRNA from 1 species